rnacentral:rRNA from 1 species
GAUGAACGCUAGCGAUAGGCCUAACACAUGCAAGUCGAGGGGCAGCACAAGGUAGCUUGCUAUCUGGGUGGCGACCGGCGCACGGGUGCGUAACGCGUAUGCAACUUGCCCUAUACAGGAGGAUAACCCGUCGAAAGACGGACUAAUACUGCGUAUGCUCACAACUUGGCAUCAAGUGGUGAGGAAAGAAAUUCGGUAUAGGAUAGGCAUGCGUCCCAUUAGCUUGUUGGUGAGGUAACGGCUCACCAAGGCAACGAUGGGUAGGGGAACUGAGAGGUUUAUCCCCCACACUGGUACUGAGACACGGACCAGACUCCUACGGGAGGCAGCAGUGAGGAAUAUUGGUCAAUGGGCGCGAGCCUGAACCAGCCAAGUCGCGUGAAGGAUGACUGUCUUAUGGAUUGUAAACUUCUUUUAUACGGGAAUAACAAGAGUCACGUGUGACUCCCUGCAUGUACCGUAUGAAUAAGCGUCGGCUAACUCCGUG